rnacentral:miRNA from 1 species
UUUUUAGUAUAAAUAUGUUCCAUAUAAUAUUUGGAACACAUUUCCACUAAAG